GUCAGGAUGGCCGAGUGGUCUAAGGCGCCAGACUCAAGAACCGAGGUUCUUCGCCGACAUGAGGUGUUGAGUAUUCUGGUCUCCGAAUGGAGGCGUGGGAAUUCGAAUCACCACUUCUGACA
rnacentral:tRNA from 1 species